rnacentral:lncRNA from 1 species
UUCAUUUCAGCAGAAGACCCCGAAUGACUGCUUAUUGGCUUGCACGCAGCCUUUUGGGGUGGUUAUAAAAUAUUUUGUACUAUGUGUCCAGUAACAGUCUUCUACCCAAGACUCAAAAGCAUGAUUUUGGAAAAGAAAAUUUUCAGUUUAUGGAUGCCUUCCGAUGACCAAAGUAGUCGACAUCCUUCGCCCUCAUGAGAGAUCCUCCAUCCAGGGCAGCCAAUCAUAGCUACCAAAAACACCUUGGAAGACACCAUACUUCUCUGUUCUGAAGAACGAAUAGGAUAGACGAGAGGGACCAUAUUGCUGGUAAGGGUAGAAGGCGACUAUUCAGAUUGGAAGCAGGAUCCUGCAUAACGUGGACACUGUGCUCUGUCUCUGAGAUGCUUGAUGUCAGGAACACCUGAGCAGUCAUAUCCUGGCCUUCCCUGCACAUUUUCUCUUUAUCUUUUAUGUUUUACAAAUACCAAA